GAUCUGCUCCAGCCCCAUCCUCUAACGGGGAGAGGGCCAGAGCUGGCCUCUUUUUUGAAGUCUGCGGUCUGGGGUGGAGAAGGCAGUAACAUAGCUCCUAUCUGGCAGUGUGGUGGGACCAGCCCUCACCUUCCGCAUCCGGCACAAUGAGCAGAACCUGUCUUUGGCUGAUGUGACCCAACAAGCAGGUAAAUAUCUCUGCGACCUCAAUCCCAGGCUUGGCCCCAGCCCCACUCCUAAGAGGAUAUAUCCAGGCCUGUUGCUGAUGCCCCCUUGAAAUGUUCCCAGCCCACAUGGGCCCUGCCUGCUGCUUGGCAGAGCAAGACAGAGGAUGGAGACCACAUGGGGCUGGAGCAAGCCUGACCUUUGUCCUCCCUGCAGGGCUGGUGAAGUCUGAACUGGAAGCACAGACAGGGCUCCAAAUCUUGCAGACAGGAGUGGGACAGAGGGAGGAGGCAGCUGCAGUCCUUCCCCAAACUGCGCACAGCACCUCACCCAUGCGCUCAGUGCUGCUCACUCUGGUGGCCCUGGCAGGUGUGGCUGGGCUGCUGGUGGCUCUGGCUGUGGCUCU
rnacentral:lncRNA from 1 species